GGGGAUGACAGGCUUCGACGGAGGAGGCUGGUCCCGGAUUGCGAGCCGAGAGGUGCCGACCUCGCAAAAUCAGCACAAAAAACAAGUGCCAAUCGCACUUCCUACGCCGCUAUGCCCCUCGCCGCCUAAGGUGAGAGCUAGCGCCUGGUCCCCCUGAGGGACCACGUCCGCCUACCCCGCCCUCUGACCGGUGGUGGGACGGGCGUGACAAAGUCAGAGUGCCGUGCGGAAGGCCGCGUGUCGCACGAAAGAGGGCUUUCGGGCCCCAGCGGCUGGCUGAAGACCGGUUUGCUGGUUCCACCGGCUUUGAGCGAAAACAAAGACCGGCUACGCUCGUAGAUAUUCGAGGGCUUAAUCUUUCGGACGCGGGUUCGAUUCCCGCCAUCUCCACUA
rnacentral:tmRNA from 1 species